UAGGCAGAAGUCUGCAGGAUUAGACAUUUAGCUGUUAACUAAAGUAUUAUGGGAUCGAGGCCCAUCUGUCUAG
rnacentral:tRNA from 1 species